GAAUUCUUUCUAGCGCCAGAACUUUGAAUAGUUGACGAGGAUAGUAGUGAUCGAAAAUUCGGCGGAUGCUACUACGUAGGGAAGAUGCGUUAGGUAUGUCUAAAAAGCAAAAUCGACAUUGUAACAACAGAUGUAUCACUUUUCAGA
rnacentral:ncRNA from 2 species